ACGUGGACAAUCUAACCUAAGGUGGGGGAUAACCCCGGGAAACUGGGGAUAAUACCCCAUAGACUAUGGGUGCUGGAAUGCUCUGUAGUUGAAAGGUCCGCCGCCAUAGGAUGAGUCUGCGGCCGAUUAGGUUGUUGUUGGGGUAACGGCCCAACAAGCCUGUAAUCGGUACGGGUUGUGGGAGCAAGAGCCCGGAGAUGGAUUCUGAGACACGAAUCCAGGCCCUACGGGGCGCAGCAGGCGCGAAAACUUUACAAUGCGGGAAACCGUGAUAAGGGAACUCCGAGUGCCCGUAAAAUCGGGCUGUCCACCAGUGCAAAUAACUGGUGAAGAAAGGGCCGGGCAAGACCGGUGCCAGCCGCCGCGGUAAUACCGGCGGCUCGAGUGGUGGCCACUAUUACUGGGCUUAAAGCGUUCGUAGCUGGUCUGUUAAGUCUCUGGGGAAAUCUACUGGCUUAACCAAUAGGCAUCUCAGGGAUACUGGCAGACUAGGGACCGGGAGAGGUGAGGGGUACUCCAGGGGUAGGAGUGAAAUCCUGUAAUCCUUGGGGGACCACCUGUGGCGAAGGCGCCUCACC
rnacentral:rRNA from 1 species